GCGCUAGUAGCUUAGAAUAAAAGCAUCGGUCUUGUAAUCCGAAGAUCGGAGGCUAAAUCCCUCCCUGACGCC
rnacentral:tRNA from 1 species